UAGGGAAUCUUCGGCAAUGGACGAAAGUCUGACCGAGCAACGCCGCGUGAGUGAAGAAGGUUUUCGGAUCGUAAAACUCUGUUGUUAGAGAAGAACAAGGACGUUAGUAACUGAACGUCCCCUGACGGUAUCUAACCAGAAAGCCACUGCUAACUACGUGCCAGCAGCCGCGGUAAUACGUAGGUGGCAAGCGUUGUCCGGAUUUAUUGGGCGUAAAGCGAGCGCAGGCGGUUUCUUAAGUCUGAUGUGAAAGCCCCCGGCUCAACCGGGGAGGGUCAUUGGAAACUGGGAGACUUGAGUGCAGAAGAGGAGAGUGGAAUUCCAUGUGUAGCGGUGAAAUGCGUAGAUAUAUGGAGGAACACCAGUGGCGAAGGCGGCUCUCUGGUCUGUAACUGACGCUGAGGCUCGAAAGCGUGGGGAGCAAACAGG
rnacentral:rRNA from 1 species